AUGGCGUGGAGGAGAAUGGAGACCAAACCUGUGAUAACCUGUCUCAAAACCCUCCUCAUCAUCUGCCCCUUCAUCUUCUGGAUCACUGCGGUGAUCCUGCUGGCCGUCGGAGUCUGGGGCAAGCUCACACUUGGAACCUACAUCUCCCUCACUGCUGAGAACUCCACAAAUGCUCCCUAUGUGCUCGUCGGAACCGGCGCCACCAUCAUCAUUUCUGGCUGUUUGGAUGCUUUGCCACCUGCCGUGCCAUUGAUGCUGAAGCUGUAUGCCAUGUUCCUGCCCCUGAGCUUGUCCCUGGCAUGUAAGGCUGUGUGUUUCGUCAUGAGAUCAAGGACACUUUCCUCAGGACUUACACAGAUGCCAUGCAGAAUUACAAUAGCAAUGAUGAGAGGAGCCGGGCAGUGGACCAUGUGCAGCGCAGCUUGAGCUGCUGUGGUGUGCAGAACUACACCAACUGGAGCACCAAUCCCUACUUCCUGGAGCACGGCAUUCCCCCGAGUUGCUGCAGGAAUGAAACUGAUUUCAAUGCCCAGGAUCUACACAAUCUGACUAUGGCCGCCACCAAAGUUAAAGAGAAGGGCUGUUAUGAUCUGGUGACCAGUUUCAUGGAGACAAACAUGGGGAUCAUUGCUGGAGUUACGUUUGGAAUCGCCUUCUCUCAGUUGAUUGGCAUGCUGUUGGCCUGCUGUCUGUCCCGGUUCAUCACGGCCAAUCAAUAUGAGAUGGUGUAA